rnacentral:rRNA from 1 species
GUUUGAUCAUGGCUCAGGAUGAACGCUAGCGGCAGGCUUAAUACAUGCAAGUCGAGGGGCAGCGGGGGUAGCAAUACCUGCCGGCGACCGGCAAACGGGUGCGGAACACGUCACGCAACCUUCCCAGAACAGGUGAAUAGCCCUCCGAAAGGAGAUUAAUACACCGUAAGAUAUAGAGACGGCAUCAUUUUUAUAUAAUAGGCAGCAAUGUCGGUUUUGGAUGGGCGUGCGGCUGAUUAGGUAGUUGGCGGGGUAACGGCCCACCAAGCCUCCGAUCAGUAACUGGUGUGAGAGCACGACCAGUCACACGGGCACUGAGACACGGGCCCGACUCCUACGGGAGGCAGCAGUAAGGAAUAUUGGUCAAUGGACGGAAGCUGAACCAGCCAUGCCGCUGAAGGAUGAAGGCCCUCUGGGUUGUAAACUUCUUUUAUCUGGGACGAAAAAAGGGGAUUCAUCCUCACUUGAACGGUUACCAGAGGAAUAAAGCACCCGCCUAAACUCCGUGC